AAUACAUAGGCUGCAUCACACCAUCUAGCGAUGGCCACAGGAACAUGUCGUCAUCACAGACGAUAUGAUCCUUGGGCUGGACAGCAAAGGAAGAAGCACCUUCAGUGUGUCCAUCCCUGGAUAACACCCACAUCUAUAGCAUCACAUAUCCCCCUCCACUGUCUUCUGAUGAGGAAUGUGUUCAUGAAGCUAGCAGUCACUCACCCUUAACUGGCAUGCAAAAAAAAUCUUCAACGGGAUUGAGAAGAGGGGAUGAUUGGUUGAUAAUCAAACCAGUUUUGGGCCAGGCCUGAACAAAGGAAGAUGGCAUUAUCUCAAGAUAUCUGUUUUGUUCUGUGUUAUUUAUGUGAUUCACUGGUAGAAGAGUGUUGUGCAUCCUGUUCAAAAAUGUAAGUGUGUGGGCUAUGUUGUGUACUCCAAAGAGAACAUGUGUUGUGGUUCUGUAUGAAUCCUACCUACCUUUUGUCCAUGUUAUUUCAGUUACUUUUUUAUUAGUUUCUGUGUUAAUUGCUUUUUUUCUAACAAGUUAUCUGCCGUUAAUUAAGCUAACAAAAGCAGUGAUACUGGUCUUGAAUUUAAAUAAUGUAAUUAACUAUCUUAUUAGCUUUGAUAGUGGUGGGAUAAAAUCUUUAACUGAUAUAUAACUCCCUGUUGCUGUAAUUAGGCCUCUGCCAGCACAUGGGAUGGAUUGAGGGAAGGCAUUGGAUUCACUCCUGUGUUGGUCGGGCUUUUUUGAAAUAUGUGUCUUUCUUAUUAUGCUAAGAAUGCUGAUUUUUGCCUUGUUAGGAAUCACACUGACUUGGACUUUUUGUUAUAGAAUUUUUUUGGGCUCUUUUUCCAGAA